CUGAUUGCACCAAGAAAUAGUUGAUGCAAUAUUGACUAUGUCGAAUAAAAUUCUGGGUAAGAUUAUGAUAAUGACAUUGUUUGCCCAUGUGUCUUGACCAAAUUACGUGCCAGCAGUCGCGGUAAUACGUAGAAGACUAGUGUUAUUCAUCUUUAAUAGGUUUAAAGGGUACCUAGACGGUAAAUCAAGCCUAGUUAGGGACUAAUUUACUAGAGUUACUUAUGAGGGGGUAUUAAAGUACUGCUGGUGUAGAGAUGAAAUUUUUUCAUACCUCUUUUCGUAUGAAAAAUAAUGGCACAGGUAUAGGCGAAAGCAUCCCCUUAUGUGAUAACUGACGUUGAAGGACGAAGGCUUUGUGUCGCGAACAGGAUUAGAUACCCCAGUAGUCAAAGCAGAAAAUGAUGAAUGUCAUAGAUUAGAUUUAAUAUAUUUUAUUCUAUAAAUGAAAGUGUAAGCAUUCCACCUCAAGAGUAAUUUGGCAACAUUGGAACUGAAAUCAUUAGACCGUUUCUGAAACCAGUAGUGAAGUAUGUUGUUUAAUUUGAUAUUCCGCAAAAAACCUUACCACAAUUUGGAUAUUUAUAUCGCCUUUCCUUUUUUUAUGUGAUAAAUUAUUGGAUAAAAAAAGGAAAAAGGUAUUUUUACAAGCGUUGCACGGCUGUCUUUAGUUAAUGUCGUGAGACUAUGGUUAGUUCCAUUAAAUUAACGUAAACCCUUACUUUAUUUUUUAUAUAAAGUUGUUCCCCGCUAUAUUGGAUAUGAUAACAGGGAUUAAGACAAGUCAUCAUGGCCUAA
rnacentral:rRNA from 1 species